UGUUAAAUAGGCAUAACUAAAUAGAGGUCCCCAGAUUCUGUCUCGGACUGCUGCAGUAAAAAAAAAGAAUUGUUGCAGCAGAAAAAGUUAUCGUCGUUGCGGUAGCUAAUGUUUAGUCGGGAACCGCUGCAUUGGUAUUAUAACCACUACGGAGGUAAUGCAUAGUACUUUGUUAAUUUAAAAAUUUUAAAAAUAUUUUUUAUUCCUCACUUUUUUUAAAACAUGAGAGAGCGUUGAGGAAGGCAAUUUUCUAGAAUUUGGAAGUUUUCAUUUUUUGAAGUUAAGUUUAUUACAUUCUAAACUUGAAAUUACUUAUAAUAGUGAAAAUCAUUAGAAAAUUUCUCAUGGGGAAAUUUAGGAUUUGACCCUAAUUCAUGAAAUUCGUGUAAAAUCAUGAAAAUGAGUAUAAAAUCAAUAGAUAACGAUUCUAGAGUGUUAGAAAACACUAACGAAAGUAAAAUUUUAGUUAUUCGUGCUAAAUGAAGUAGAGUUCAUGAGGUUUGAAGGUAGGAAAAUCUUAAAAUAAUGAAUUAAGAGAAACUCCUGGUUAAAGUUGUUGAUUUUGAACCCCUAAUGGUUAAGAGGGAUGGACGGAUUAAAAUAAGUGUGUCGUCUUGUUGUUUUAGAUUAAGAACAAGUUGAAAGGAAAGAAAAAAGGCAAGCUUGUGGCCUGGAGGUGAUUUUGAGUAAGGAACCGAGGUAGGUUAUGGUUUAUUAUAGCAGUUAGACUUGCUUGACUCUGUGCUUAUAUGUGAAUUAAGGAUUUAUGAUCCCUUUUGAGCACUACUUAUAAUUAUUGACUUGCAUUACAUAUUCAUAUUCAAUGAUAUUGUUAAAAUGCUGAUGAGGAUAUUAUGGAAAUCAUGAUGAUGUUGAGAUUGUUGAUGAUGUCGAUGAGAUUGAGAAGAGAAAGAGAAGAUGCAGAUCUUGUAUACAUAUAUUCAUUCACGUGCAUCGAAUGUUCAGUCAUAAUCUUAUGUGGUGAUGCAACUUAUUGCCAAAUUUGACUAAAUACAAACAUGUACGAAUAUGAGUUUGUAUUCUCUCUUAGGUGAAGUUCCAUAAUUGUGUAUUUGUCUUCGAUUAUAAGUUAUGUGAUGAUCUUUGCAUCUAUUUGAUUUACCUAUUUGUAUGGUGUCAGAUUGAGUUGACCUAUGAUGCCUACCGUACUUAUUGAAAUACUGAUGCUACCGGUACUUUUCUUUUUGUUGAGUUUCGG
rnacentral:lncRNA from 1 species